GACGAACGCUGGCGGCGUGCUUAACACAUGCAAGUCGAACGGUAAGGCCCCAGCUUGCUGGGGUACACGAGUGGCGAACGGGUGAGUAACACGUGGGUGACCUGCCCCGCACUUCGGGAUAAGCCUGGGAAACUGGGUCUAAUACCGGAUAGGACCGCACCGUGAGGGUGAGGUGGAAAGUUUUUCGGUGUGGGAUGGGCCCGCGGCCUAUCAGCUUGUUGGUGGGGUAAUGGCCUACCAAGGCGGCGACGGGUAGCCGGCCUGAGAGGGUGGACGGCCACAUUGGGACUGAGACACGGCCCAGACUCCUACGGGAGGCAGCAGUGGGGAAUAUUGCACAAUGGGCGGAAGCCUGAUGCAGCGACGCCGCGUGGGGGAUGACGGCCUUCGGGUUGUAAACUCCUUUCACCAUCGACGAAGGUUUUCUGACGGUAGAUGGAGAAGAAGCACCGGCUAACUACGUG
rnacentral:rRNA from 1 species